UCGCCAUUUAGUUGACUUCCAUUUCAUGGGAGAUUUAAGCGGACCUUCGGGUGGUGACUAUAAGGAGGUGAGAUUGAGAAAAAGUUUUAACAAGGAUCUUAUCGGGAUCUUGAGUGUGGAUUUUCGAACAGGUAGCAAGAUCCUAGUAGUAGCGUUGAGAGCUCUUGUUGGUAGGAAUGAGAUUCUUUACUGUUGAGAAGGGAGAGAUCCACC
rnacentral:lncRNA from 1 species